UGGCCAAAACAGGUCCCGCGACGGAGGCUGGCAUCACCGUGGGUGGACACACGAGAAUUAUGUGGCAAACGGCAGAAUAGAGGGAGAGGUGAAGUCAGGCCAUACUUGCAACCUACCACACCAGGUUGGUGGAAAUGCUGGGAGGGGAUUCAAGCAGCUGACAGCAGAGAUUCCAGGUGACACAGCUCCAGUUUCUUCAAAGAGUCUUGAAUCCAUCAGGAAUGCUUUUGAUCACAAGUAACGAAACAGCUGACCAACAGGCACCAGGCAGUGAAGAGAGGCCGUCAGCUCACACGGUCAGAAGUCCGGAGGUGGGCGGUCCCAGCUGGCAUAGGUGCAGGAGGAUGGGUGUCAGCACCAGGCUUCCUGGUUACCUGCUCUGCCACCCACAGCACACGGCUGUCCAUGCCAAGCCUGUCACCUCAUGGUCACAAGAUGCCACCAUGUUCCAAGUAUCACAUCAUCACACAGAAGCGUUGGAGGCAGGA
rnacentral:lncRNA from 1 species